GGGCUGGCUCUAAUACAGUUGUGUGAAAAAAAUAUUCUCCCAAAAUGUCUUGGAGAUCAUCUAGAUGUUUUUUGGAAAAACUGACUUGACUUUUUAUGUUCUUUAUGCUCAGUAGUGGUUUUCGCCUUGGAACUCUGACAUGGAGGCCAUUUUCGCCCCUUGUCUAUCUUAUUGUAAAGUCAUGAACAUUGACCUUAACUGAGUCCAGUGAGUUCUGCAGGUCUUUGGGUGUUGUUCUGGGGGCUUUUGUGAUCUCUCGGAUGAGUUUUAGUUGUGCUUUUUGGGUCAUUUUGGUCGGCGGGCCUCUCCCACUAUUACUUUACAUUGUCAGGCAGGUUCUAUUUUAGUGAUUUCUUGUUGAGAAUUUGUCAAUAACAAAGACCUUCAUUUAAAAACUG